rnacentral:rRNA from 1 species
UACGGAGGGUGCGAGCGUUGUCCGGAAUCACUGGGCGUAAAGGGCGCGUAGGCGGCCGAGCAAGGUCGCGGUGAAAGCCCGGGGCUCAACCCCGGGUCGGCCGUGGCAACUACUUGGCUGGAGCACUGUAGGGGCGGGUGGAAUUCCGGGUGUAGCGGUGGAAUGCGUAGAGAUCCGGAAGAGCACCGGUGGCGAAGGCGGCCCGCUGGGCAGGAAGGCUCGCAAGAGCCGGCUGACGCUGAGGCGCGACAGCGUGGGGAGCAAACAGG